CGCCUCAUAGCUAGCCCGCCCUUCCAACAACAACAAGUCCCUAUCAAUACCCCCAAACACACGGAACCUCCCUGCAAAACAAACCAUUUUUCCCCUUUAGUAUGAGCGACAGAAAAAGACCCACGGAGCAAUAGAAACAGUACCGCAAGGGAACGCUGAAAGAGAAAAUGAAAUAACCCAGCAAAGCCUAAAAAAGCAGAGAUUUAAACUCGUACCUUUUGCAUCAUGAUUUAGCCAGUGACCCCCAAGCAAAGAGAACUUUAGUUUGACAACCCGAAACUAAGCGAGCUACUCCAAGACAGCCUGAAAACAGGGCAAACCCGUCUCUGUGGCAAAAGAGUGGGAAGAUCUUCGAGUAGAGGUGACAGACCUACCGAGCCUAGUUAUAGCUGGUUGCCCGAGAAAUGAAUAGGAGUUCAGCCUCCCGGCUUCUUUAUUCCCCUACAAUUAUUGUAAUACCUGAUUUUAUUAAGAAACCGCGAGAGUUAGUCAAAGGAGGUACAGCCCCUUUGAAAUAGAUACAACUUUUUAAGGAGGGUAAAGAUCAUAGUCAUUUAAGGAAAAAUAUUCUGGUGGGCCUAAAAGCAGCCAUCCGCACAGAAAGCGUUAAAGCUCAGAUAUACCCUUCACCCAUACAUCCCGAUCACCCGCUCUCACCCCCCUAAUUUUAUCGGGCCGCCCCAUGCAUGCAUGGGGGCGACCAUGCUAAUAUGAGUAAUUAGAGAGCCCUCCCCUCUCUCCCCGCACGCGUGUAAAUCGGAACGGACCACCCACCGAACAUUAACGGCCCCAAACAAAGAGGGCAUUGAACUAUAAACAGAAAACAAGAAAACCCCCCAACUAAACAACCGCUAACCCCACACAGGUGUGCUAUCAAGGAAAGACUAAGAGAAAGAGAAGGAACUCGGCAAACACAUAGCCUCGCCUGUUUACCAAAAACAUCGCCUCUUGUAAGAAGAAAAUAAGAGGUCCCGCCUGCCCCGUGACCAUGAGUUUAACGGCCGCGGUAUUUUAACCGUGCGAAGGUAGCGCAAUCACUUGUCCUUUAAAUGGAGACCAGUAUGAAUGGCAAAACGAGGGCUUAGCUGUCUCCUUUUUCAAGUCAAUGAAAUUGAUCUCCCCGUGCAGAAGCGGGGAUAUGUACAUAAGACGAGAAGACCCCGUGGAGCUUUAGACACCAAGACAAAUCAUGUUAAAGGCCCCUAAAUAAAGGGCUGAACUUAGUGAAACCUUGCUCUGAUGUCUUUGGUUGGGGCGACCACGGGGAGAGAGAAAACCCCCACGUGGAAUGGGAGCACUGCUUCCCCCACAGCCAAGAGCGACAGCUCUAAGCAACAGAACAUCUGACCUUAAGAUCCGGCUCUUAUGCCGAUCAACGAACCGAGUUACCCCAGGGAUAACAGCGCAAUCCCCUUCUAGAGCCCAUAUCGACAAGGGGGUUUACGACCUCGAUGUUGGAUCAGGACAUCCUAAUGGUGCAGCCGCUAUUAAGGGUUCGUUUGUUCAACGAUUAAAGUCCUACGUGAUCUGAGUUCAGACCGGAGUAAUCCAGGUCAGUUUCUAUCUAUGACAUGAUCUUUUCUAGUACGAAAGGACCGGAAAGAAGAGGCCUAUGCCCAAGGCACGCCCCACCCCCACCUGAUGAAGUCAACUAAAAAAGACAAGAGGGCAUACCCCAACAGCCUGAGAAAAAGGCAA
rnacentral:rRNA from 1 species